AGAGUUUGAUCCUGGCUCAGGACGAACGCUGGCGGCGUGCUUAACACAUGCAAGUCGCACGGGAGCAGCAAUGCUCUAGUGGCGAACGGGUGCGUAACACGUGAGAAAUCUGUCCAUCGGCGGGGGAUAGCCGGCCCAACGGCCGGGUAAUACCGCGUACGUCGGCGAGAACGCAUGUUCUUGCCGGGAAAGCAGCAAUGCACCGAUGGAGGAUCUCGCGGCCUAUCAGCUUGUUGGCGGGGUAAUGGCCCACCAAGGCAACGACGGGUAGCUGGUCUGAGAGGAUGAUCAGCCACAUUGGGACUGAGACACGGCCCAGACUCCUACGGGAGGCAGCAGUGGGGAAUAUUGCGCAAUGGGCGAAAGCCUGACGCAGCGACGCCGCGUGUGGGAUGAAGGCCUUCGGGUUGUAAACCACUGUCGGGGGGGACGAAAAAAAUGACGGUACCCCCAAAGGAAGCACCGGCUAACUCUGUGCCAGCAGUCGCGGUAAUACAGAGGGUGCGAGCGUUGUCCGGAAUUACUGGGCGUAAAGGGCGCGUAGGCGGCUUGAUAAGUAGGGGGUGAAAUUCCAUGGCUCAACCAUGGAUCGGCCUUCUAGACUAUCAGGCUUGAGCACGGUAGAGGCAGAUGGAAUUCCCGGUGUAGCGGUGGAAUGCGUAGAGAUCGGGAAGAACACCAGUGGCGAAGGCGGUCUGCUGGGCCGUUGCUGACGCUGAGGCGCGACAGCGUGGGGAUCAAACAGGAUUAGAUACCCUGGUAGUCC
rnacentral:rRNA from 1 species